ACUCCUACGGGAGGCAGCAGUGGGGAAUUUUGCGCAAUGGGGGAAACCCUGACGCAGCAACGCCGCGUGAGUGAUGAAGGCCCUUGGGUCGUAAAGCUCUGACAGAGGGAAAGAAAUGUGGGUGGCUAAUAUCCAUACCACUUGACGGUACCCUCAAAGGAAGCACCGGCUAACUCCGUGCCAGCAGCCGCGGUAAUACGGAGGGUGCGAGCGUUGUUCGGAUUUAUUGGGCGUAAAGCGCGUGUAGGCGGUUUUAUAAGUCUGAUGUGAAAGCCCCGGGCUCAACCUGGGAAGUGCAUUGGAUACUGUCAGACUUGAAUACGGGAGAGGGUAGUGGAAUUCCUAGUGUAGGAGUGAAAUCCGUAGAUAUUAGGAGGAACACCGGUGGCGAAGGCGGCUACCUGGACCGAUAUUGACGCUGAGACGCGAAAGCGUGGGUAGCAAACAGGAUUAGAUACCCUGGUAGUCCACGCCGUAAACGAUGAGAACUAGGUGUCGCGGGUA
rnacentral:rRNA from 1 species